rnacentral:rRNA from 1 species
UACGAAGGGGGCUAGCGUUGUUCGGAAUUACUGGGCGUAAAGGGUGCGUAGGCGGGUCUUUUAAGUCAGGGGUGAAAUCCUGGAGCUCAACUCCAGAACUGCCUUUGAUACUGAAGAUCUUGAGUUCGGGAGAGGUGAGUGGAACUGCGAGUGUAGAGGUGAAAUUCGUAGAUAUUCGCAAGAACACCAGUGGCGAAGGCGGCUCACUGGCCCGAUACUGACGCUGAGGCACGAAAGCGUGGGGAGCAAACAGGG